CGGAGUACGACGUAGUUAAGCGGGCUAUCGUUAUGGGUCGAAUAUCGAAAAAAAUGACGCGUAAACAUAAGAAGAAGUUACGAAAAUUACUUCAAUUAUUGGAUAGUUCAAAUGACACACGGAAGGAGUUGGAGAAAUGCUGCGCUCCAGUAAAACUAAUUGCAGACGUGUUUUACGCCCUUUCACUACACCGGCGUUAUUCCAUUUUACCUUUUCUGGAUGUCAACGUUCGAAAGCUUUUAGAUACUUGUCCAAUAGACGAAUAUUUAUUUGGCAAAGCUUUCCCGGACCAACUAAAAACAUCCAAUGAAGCUCAGCGAUUAGGUUUGUCAAUCAAAAAGAAAGAUAAAGCAUUAAAAACAGGAUCUUCCAAAGCAGUAAUCCGGAAAAGAUCGACGGAACCGAAGCCUGGGCCAUCAGAAGUUUCGCUUUCUUUAAACUCCCGACGCAUGCAACACAAGCCACGCAUGAAAAAGGAGGAGGGGAGGCGUCCAGCAAGGUCGUACCGGAAUUAGUAGAUGAGGAAAUGCCACCCACUUUGGAGGAAGCUUUCCCUGGAGGUUGGGAGUUUAUCAGGGAAGCUUUUCUCAGACGAGAAGUUCCGGAUAUAGGACUCCAAGCAAUCAGGGCAUCCCUCAGCGCAUCUACCCUGAAGCAAUAUUCGUCGAAUUUGAGGAAGUGGUGGCUAUUCUGUAUAUCUAAAGGCCAUAGUCCAUUUUUGUACUCAUUAGACUCAGUUAUGACCUUUUUGAGUGAUCAGUUUCAAAACGGUUGUUCUUACUCAACACUUAAUUCGCAGCACGCAGCUAUAGCCUUGGUUUUUGAAAUAAGUAAGCUCUUUUAAAGCGGUUUCUCAAAGGGGUUUAUAAUCAAAGACCUUCAAGGCCUAAAUACCAAUCAACCUGAGACCCGCAAGCGGUUUUAGAGUAUUUAUCUGCUUUACAUCCAUUAGCAUAUAUUUCACCCAUGUUAUUAACAAUGAAAUUGGUAACAUUGCUUGCGUUAAUUACUGGGCAUCGAUUACAAACGUUUACGUGUAUACGUUUAGAGAACAUAGUUUACGACCCUGACAGAUUAGCGAUUCAUAUCACAAAUAAAAUCAAAACCUCAUCGUCUAAAAAUGUUUAGCCUCUGUUAGUAAUCCCAUAUUUUAAGGAAAAUGCAAACCUAUGUCUAGCCUCAGUUAUUGACUUUUAUGAGAUUAAAACUAGGGAGAUUGGACCAGUUAAUACAGACUUACUUAUUAUACGCCCAGUAUCUACACAGAGAUUAAGUAAAUGGGUCAAAUUAACUCUUGAAGCAAGUGGUAUAAAUACCUCUAUUUUUUCAAGUUAUACCACUAGGCAUGCGGCCACAUCUGCGGCUUAUAGAGGUGGAAUUUCUAUUAAAAUGAUAAGACAAAGGGCUGGUUGAACUCAAAAAUCCGAGAUGUUUGCUAGGUUUUAUAACCGCCCCCUUUGUAAUGAUGUUACGGCCUUUGCCAAAAGUAUUAUAGGUUUAACUUAAUUCAAUCGUUACCUUAUAAUGAUAAUAAUAAUUAUAGGUUAAGAUGACUUUAUCAUUUAAUUUUGUUUUUUGUUUUUUUUUGUAUGUAUAUUAUACAUAUAGCAUUAUUAACAUAUAGUAUAGAUUAUUUAGAUCGGCAAUUAUAAAACAUAAUGUUAACAAUUUCUAUCAUAUUAAAGGAUAGUUG